AACACGCGUAAAAGAGAAGUUACACCUCAUCCAAUAACAUUUAAUGGUUCUAUUUGUGGAUUUUUCGGCUGUACAUUAAAGAUCACAGUUAAUAAAACAGAUGCGAAUCCAUUUUUGGUAUGUGUCUGUGAAAUACUCCACUGACACCAGAGCUCUUCUCCACAGCUCUGCGGCACUUCAUAAAAAUCCUCGACAGGACAUUUGGCACAUAAAUUCUGCUAUAAAUUACACAACUCACAUGUUGAAACCUUUCUUUAACUUUUAAACACUAUAUAUUUUAUAUAUUCACUAUAAGAUAUAUUGUUUAAUUUGAAUCAGUGAGCACUGUGGGAUGAUGAAUUGUCUACUGACUUGAUGGCAGAUCCACUUUUGAGAUUUUAUCACCAUGAGAGUAUGUGACUGUUCAGGAAUCUGAAACCAUAGACAUCUAAAAGGAUGCAAAAUAUUUUUAUAGCCUGAAAAAAAAAAAAGCACAACCAACUCUAUUAAUAUGUAUUCAUUAAUUGUUUAUUAAUGAAUCAUGAUAAUCAUUUAAAUCAUUUUAAUUUCACAGUACACAGCAUGAAUGGUGUGCAAAUGCAUAUCAGUUGUUUGUAAUGCUUGUUAUUUCUGUUUUAAAAACAGUAUGUGAGAUAGAUUGUUAACUGAGUUACCACAAUAAAUAAAUUAAAAUAUUAUGACAAUGCUAAGUUAUUAAAACACUAAAUGUCAAAGCUGUUUUGCAAGUAAGUGAUUAGUAAUUGGGUUAAACUCAACAUUAACGAACAAUAUUACAUUUAAUAAUACUUAAUAGAAAAGUUAGUGUACAGUCACAUUGUUAGAAAUAUCAACUAUGAUUUAUUAAAUAAAAUAAUGUCAUUCUUAUUUAAUUUGUAUAUGUCUGUAAGGCCAGUGAUAAUUAAUAAAAGUAUAAAAAAAAAUGUAAUAAAUUAAUAAAAAAAAAUGUUAAUUAAAGUUGCUAAGUGUUGCCAUUAACUUACUGUAUAUGAAGGACACGAGGAGUUAAAUACGUUAAUGACAAAUAGAGGUCUAUAAAUGGGUAGCCAAGUGGCACAACCUAUAGAGCAAAUUCACAUGACCAAAUAGAGUGUGAGCUUUCUGCUGAGUUCACUUAAACAUCUCUAUAAAAGAGGCCGUCUGAAAGUUCCUCAAGACCUGACAGGGAUCCAUCCACGGUAAGAUAAAGUUCACAUACAAAUGCAUAUUCUACAAACUAUAUUCUGCAUUGAUUCUUUGGACUUGUACACAUUUUAAAAUCUUGCAAAGAAGAUUAGACACAUUAAAUAUUUUAUCAACUACUUCUUUAUUUUCACAGAUCAUACAUCACUUCUCUGUACUAGGGCACUGAAAAAAAGGUAAAAAUGUGUUAAACAUUUUUAUGAAUCUGCUGGCAUUCACAGAAAAAGAACAUGUUUCAGUGAAAAUCAUGAUUUUUUUGUUGUUGUAACACUAACAGGAACUCGCUGUCAUGGGAGAUGGUGAAAUGGAGUGUUUUGGCCCGGCGGCCAUUUUUCUCCGGAAGCCAGAAAAGGAAAGGAUUGAGGCUCAAAACACCCCGUUUGAUGCCAAAACGGCCUACUUUUUGUCAGAACCCGAGAACAUGUACCUGAAAGGUACUCUUGUUAGUAAAGAAGGUGGCAAGGCUACAGUCAAAACCCUGUGUGGGAAAGUAAGUCCAAAAAAGAGACUGCAAUUGUCCAUCAUAUUCCAAAUAAGCUGUUGAGUUAUAAAAUGUUGUUCAUUCUCAGACCCUCACAGAAAAGGAAGAUGAAAUCUUUCCCAUGAACCCACCCAAGUUUGACAAAAUUGAGCCCGCUGUGCUCUAUAACCUCAAAGAGCAUUACGCAGCAUGGAUGAUCUACGUAAGUCACAUAAUACUGUAUUCUUGGAAAUAAAGAGUGAUGGGAAUAAAGGGUGGCAAAAAUCUGGAUUAUCUCUCCAUUUCAGACCUACUCUGGCUUAUUCUGUGUCACCAUCAAUCCCUACAAGUGGCUGCCCGUGUACGACGUAGUUGUGUGACUGGAUACAGAGGCAAAAAGAGGAUUGAAGCUCCACCCCACAUCUUCUCCAUCUCUGACAAUGCCUACCAGUUCAUGCUCACUGGUCAGCUAUUCAACAUCUAUAUCUGUCUGAAUGUGCAGCUUUAAAAUCAACAUGAAAUCAAAACUGACCUGGCUUUCGUAAAACAUAUCCCUGGAAUUGUUGGGCAUGGUAUUCCUACAAGACAAAAAUAUUUGACAUCAAUAAUGUGCUUUUACAAAUCACAUAUAUUUAUUGAUUUUAAUAUCAAGUCAGGUUUCAUGUAUGGAAUCUAUCACCCACUUUCCACCAUGCAAUUAAUUCCGAAUGGAUAAAAUAAAGCCUUGUUUCAUGUUGUUUAUGUUUCAUGUUGAAUAAAUUGUUGAUUUAUUGUGCAGCUAAUCCUAAAUGAAACAAAGUUCAGAUCUAAUUUGAAUAUAAAUAUUCUUACAGAUCGUGAGAACCAGUCUGUCCUAAUUAUUUAAGUUAUGAUUCUUCAGACACUUUAUCAUUUUUUUUUUUUUUUUUUUUGUAUAAAAAAUUGCUUUACCAUAUUAUCGUUUCACACUCCAGCGGAGAAUCUGGUGCAGGAAAGACCGUCAACACCAAGCGUGUUUUCGCGACAAUCGCAGUGUCUGGACAGAAGAAGGCAGAACCUGUCCCAGGCAAAAUGCAGGGGUCGCUAGAGGAUCAAAUCAUUGCUGCCAACCCUCUGCUGGAGGCUUAUGGUAAUGCCAAGACUGUGAGAAAUGACAACUCCUCUCGUUUUGGUUAAUUUAUCAGGAUUCACUUCAGAUCCACUGGAAAACUGGCUUCAGCUGAUAUUGAAACUUGUGAGUCAUGCUUUUUUGAGACAAAAAUGUUUUUUAGUUGGGAUGACAAACUGCAUAUUCAAAGUCAAUGUUUUAUGUAAAAGAUCUGCUGGAAAAUUCAAGAGUAACAUUCCAGUUGUCUGCUGAGAGGAGCUACCAUAUCUUCUACAAGCUCAUAACUGGACACAAGCCAGAGCUGCUUGGUGAGAAAUCUACAGUAUUUUGGUGUAAAAACCCCAUGAAAUGUCUGAUGAGCAGUCUUAUUGCUUAUAGCCUUUAGCUUUACCAAACAUUUUACGUUACAGCCUGGAAAAAAACUGAUUUAAAAGCAACAAGACACUUUAAAAAUUCAUAAACUCCAGCCACUUACUUCACAACCAAUCGAUGGUCAGGUAAAGAAACAAUGCAUAAGCUUUAAUGCAAUCAAAAACACAGUUUGCUACUUGUUAUUGCUAGUUGGUGGCACCUGGUGUUAGGUAAAUAUUCUUCUGAUAGGACAAACUAACAAAAAAAAAAAAAUGGACUUUGGAUUUCAUGGGGUUCUUAAAACAGAAAACAGUAGUCAUGUCUUGGAAAGCGAUUAACAGUGAAUUUGAUGCUUUAGAGACACCGCUUAUCACCACCAACCCUUAUGACUAUCCAAUGAUCAGCCAGGGUGAAAUCACUGUCA